rnacentral:rRNA from 1 species
GCCUACGGGGGGCAGCAGUGAGGAAUAUUGGUCAAUGGUCGGGAGACUGAACCAGCCAAGCCGCGUGAGGGAUGAAGGUACAGAGUAUCGUAAACCUCUUUUGUCAGGGAACAAAGGCGGGGACGCGUCCCCGGAUGAGUGUACCUGAAGAAAAAGCAUCGGCUAACUCCGUGCCAGCAGCCGCGGUAAUACGGAGGAUGCGAGCGUUAUCCGGACUUAUUGGGUUUAAAGGGUGCGCAGGCGGUCUGUUAAGUCAGCGGUCCAAGCCCGGGGCUCAACCCCGGCCCGCCGUUGAAACUGGCAGG